UACGGGAGGCAGCAGUAGGGAAUCUUCGGCAAUGGGGGAAACCCUGACCGAGCAACGCCGCGUGAGUGAAGAAGGUUUUCGGAUCGUAAAGCUCUGUUGUAAGAGAAGAAUAGGAGUGAGAGUGGAAAGCUCACUCUCUGACGGUAUCUUACCAGAAAGGGACGGCUAACUACGUGCCAGCAGCCGCGGUAAUACGUAGGUCCCGAGCGUUGUCCGGAUUUAUUGGGCGUAAAGCGAGCGCAGGCGGUUACGUAAGUCUGAAGUAAAAGGCUGUGGCUCAACCAUAGUGCGCUUUGGAAACUGCGGAACUUGAGUGCAGAAGGGGAGAGUGGAAUUCCAUGUGUAGCGGUGAAAUGCGUAGAUAUAUGGAGGAACACCAGUGGCGAAAGCGGCUCUCUGGUCUGUAACUGACGCUGAGGCUCGAAAGCGUGGGGAGCGAACAGGAUUAGAUACCCUGGUAGUCCACGCUGUAAACGAUGAGUGCUAGGUGUUAGGUCCUUUCCGGGGCUUAGUGCCGUCGCUAACGCAUUAAGCACUCCGCCUGGGGAGUACGACCGCAAGGUUGAAACUCAAAGGAAUUGACGGGGGCCCGCACAAGCGGUGGAGCAUGUGGUUUAAUUCGAAGCAACGCGAAGAACCUUACCAGGUCUUGACAUCCCUCUGAUAAGUCUAGAGAUAGAUUCUCUCUUUGGAGCAGAGGUGACAGGUGGUGCAUGGUUGUCGUCAGCUCGUGUCGUGAGAUGUUGGGUUAAGUCCCGCAACGAGCGCAACCCUUAUUGUUAGUUGCCAUCAUUAAGUUGGGAACUCUAACGAGACUGCCGGUAAUAAACCGGAGGGAGGUGGGGAUGACGUCAAAUCAUCAUGCCCCUUAUGACCUGGGCUACACACGUGCUACAAUGGCUGGCACAACGAGUCGCAAGUCGGUGACGACAAGCUAAUCUCU
rnacentral:rRNA from 1 species